rnacentral:tRNA from 1 species
UGGCUCAGAGGAUAAAGCAUCUGCCUGCAAUGCAGGAGACCUGGGUUCGAUCCCUG